GAUCAAUCAAGAAUGGCCCUUUAUAGAAGAUUACAAGCAAUUCGUGCUCUUUCUCGAACGUUAGAGACUCGAGACUCUUUGUAUCUGCUUGGGAGCUUAAGAAGCUAUAGUAGUCAUUUUUCAAAUGGUUGUGAACUGAACUCCUGGAGAAUUUCAUUUUGUCCCCAUUGGGGCCACAAUUCUCUUCCUUGGACUCAUGGAAGGACAACCCUUCAUUCUUCAAUGGCCAUGGAAUUAUCAAUUUUCUUAAGCAACAAGAGGUUGGCGACAACACAGGCAAGAGCUCCCGCACAAGCACGGCAGAUGGGGGCUCUUAAAGUGUCCAUUUCGAGUCCUGGAUUCAUCUAUGAACCUUAUGCACCUCGUGAACCAAUCCCAUUUUGGCGAAGGUGGUUCACAAAAAGUGGUUGGAGACG
rnacentral:misc_RNA from 1 species